rnacentral:misc_RNA from 1 species
CGGCAUCAACACGAGCUGGAUGAUCGCGCUCGGCUGGGGCAUGGCCUCCGCCAUCGGCGCCAUCGCCGGUCUGCUGAUCGCGCCGGUGGUGUUCCUCGAACCCAACUGAGGGGCGGCAUCCUGCUGUACGGCUUCGCAGCCGCGGUGCUCGGCGGUCUGACCUCGCCGUUCGGCGCGGUGGUCGGCGGCUUCCUGGUCGGCGUCUUCGAAAAUCUCGUGGGCACCUACA